AUAAGUAGGCAUGAAUGAUGAAAAAGCUAGUCUACCAGAUAUUGGGUUUCGACAAAAAAUAAUGGCUUGAGAAAUUUGCUUUUGGUGGUAGCUACAAAUAACUAUCAGAUCUAACCUACCUUGCUUAAACAAGAUAACGCAUAUUUACGAACUUACGAUCCGCUUAAACCAACAAGUGUAAAACCAAACAUAUCACUCGCGCAUUGAGCUGAACAAAACAAUGACUUAUCUAAAUCAA